UUUUGGUAGUUUUGACUUAUUAAGUCCCUCUAAGCGUGUGACUUUAUUAUAUAAUAAUGCCCUUAUAUAGAUUAUAUAUAUUUAUGGAAAAAAAAUGGUUUUUUUUUUCCUUAUGAGGUUUUUUUCACGCUGACUACUUGAUAAAUUCUUAAAAAGAUUUUAUCCUUAUAUUAUAUAUAUAUAUAUAUAUAUAUAUAUAUAUAAAUGCAUAUAUAUUCGUGUGUCAUUCAACACAAUUUAAAAUGAUUAUUUUCUUCACACUGUUUCCAGAGAUUAUGCUCGGACCAUACCCAAACCGUUUACAGUGCGCUAUAACCCGUACACUCAGGCCUUGGAAAUGGUUGACAACAAAGACAGAAUACUCAAUAUAUGCAAGUCCAUCCAGUCCGACAUCUCACUGCUCGAAGACGCCAUUCAAAAAGUCGAUCCGGGAACGAAAUCAAAACGAUGAGAUUUGAAACCCACGAUCAGGGAUUUCCCAGGUUUGGGAAGAAUUUCGAAUAUUUUCAGUCAUUUAAUGAAUCUUUCUAUCAGAAGAAUUCGUAGAAAAAAAAAAAUUAAAAAAAAAAAACAAAAAAAAAAACACAUCUGAAAAUAAUUAUGAGAAAAUACAUGUUGGAUUUUGAUACAUAUAAUUCUUUGGAAUUUUUACUUCAACUGAGAUGUGAAGAAUCUUAGAAUGCAAUUUUAAACACUUUCCGUUUUUUUAAAAUAUGUAUUUCAUAUUCAGCGUAAAAUAAAACAAAAA